GAGAGGCAUUCUCACUCAGUGAAUUUCCUGGGGGUUCUAGAGCUUGUGGAGGGGUUGGUGUACAGCAGGUAGAAAGGAGCAAGGGGACCCAAGAAGCCAAGGCCCGCCCUUUUUGUUGGUUUGCUAUUGAGGAGGCUUAGCACCCAGCUGGCCCAACAGCGUUCUACUCUAGAAAGAGAUGUACGAAGAUUGCGCAGCCCCCUCACCUGGGUUAGCAAAGACAUUACUAAUUGACCACAGCAUGCUUCGCAUGGAGGAACAGAUCCAGAAUCC